rnacentral:rRNA from 12 species
AAAAGCAGCCACAGUGGAGUGCAAGUGCCCAGUAGUGUCUGAUCUUUGAAGCUAAGCAGGACUGUACCUGGUUAGUACUUGGAUGGGACCCCAACUUGGAACUGCAGGAGCUGCUAUCC